AGAGUUUGAUCCUGGCUCAGGAUGAACGCUAGCUACAGGCUUAACACAUGCAAGUCGAGGGGCAGCAUGUUGGUUGCUUGCAACCGAUGAUGGCGACCGGCGCACGGGUGAGUAACGCGUAUCCAACCUACCCUUGUCCAUCGGAUAACCCGUCGAAAGGCGGCCUAACACGAUAUGCGGUUCACCGCAGGCACCUAACGUGAACGAAAUGUGAAGGAGAAGGAUGGGGAUGCGUCUGAUUAGCUUGUUGGCGGGGUAACGGCCCACCAAGGCAACGAUCAGUAGGGGUUCUGAGAGGAAGGUCCCCCACAUUGGAACUGAGACACGGUCCAAACUCCUACGGGAGGCAGCAGUGAGGAAUAUUGGUCAAUGGGCGAGAGCCUGAACCAGCCAAGUAGCGUGCAGGACGACGGCCCUAUGGGUUGUAAACUGCUUUUAUAAGGGAAUAAAGUGAGUCUCGUGAGACUUUUUGCAUGUACCUUAUGAAUAAGGACCGGCUAAUUCCGUGCCAGCAGCCGCGGUAAUACGGAAGGUCCGGGCGUUAUCCGGAUUUAUUGGGUUUAAAGGGAGCGUAGGCCGGAGAUUAAGCGUGUUGUGAAAUGUAGUGGCUCAACCUCUGCACUGCAGCGCGAACUGGUCUUCUUGAGUACGCACAACGUGGGCGGAAUUCGUGGUGUAGCGGUGAAAUGCUUAGAUAUCACGAAGAACUCCGAUUGCGAAGGCAGCUCACGGGAGCGCAACUGACGCUGAAGCUCGAAAGUGCGGGUAUCGAACAGGAUUAGAUACCCUGGUAGUCCGCACGGUAAACGAUGGAUGCCCGCUGUUGGCCUGAAUAGGUCAGCGGCCAAGCGAAAGCAUUAAGCAUCCCACCUGGGGAGUACGCCGGCAACGGUGAAACUCAAAUGAAUUGACGG
rnacentral:rRNA from 1 species